CAUCAGACAGUUUGGCAAAAGCCUGGGCCCUGAAUUCCAGCGUGUCAGCAGUGGGCUGGAGCUGCUCAUUUAUUUUCUCAAGAGAAAACAAAAUCUGGAGAUAUCAGGGGUGAAACUGUUAAGUGACUGUAGAAAGUGGCUUACAUGGAAACGGUUUUUGUGUGCUCGCAUGCUGCUAUCUUGGCUGUAAGUCCCUGCUGUUCAGGAUUUUGAAUAUUUCUUGCCAAUCUCUUCUAGCCUGCAAAGCUUCUUUUGAGAAAUCAGUUGACAGUCUUAU